GACGAACGCUGGCGGCGUGCUUAACACAUGCAAGUCGAACGGAAAGGCCCUGCUUUUGUGGGGUGCUCGAGUGGCGAACGGGUGAGUAACACGUGAGUAACCUGCCCUUGACUUUGGGAUAACUUCAGGAAACUGGGGCUAAUACCGGAUAGGAGCUCCUGCUGCAUGGUGGGGGUUGGAAAGUUUCGGCGGUUGGGGAUGGACUCGCGGCUUAUCAGCUUGUUGGUGGGGUAGUGGCUUACCAAGGCUUUGACGGGUAGCCGGCCUGAGAGGGUGACCGACCACAAUGGGACUGAGAGAAGGCCCAGAAUCCUACGGGAGGCAGCAGUGGGGAAUAUUGCACAAUGGGCGGAAGCCUGAUGCAGCAACGCAGCGUGCGGGAUGACGGCCUUCGGGUUGUAAACCGCUUUCGCCUGUGACGAAGCGUGAGUGACGGUAAUGGGUAAAGAAGCACCGGCUAACUACGUG
rnacentral:rRNA from 1 species